AUUGAACGCUGGCGGCAUGCCUUACACAUGCAAGUCGAACGGCAGCACGGGCUUCGGUCUGGUGGCGAGUGGCGAACGGGUGAGUAAAGUAUCGGAACGUACCUUUCAGUGGGGGAUAACGUAGCGAAAGUUACGCUAAUACCGCAUAUUCUGUGAGCAGGAAAGCAGGGGAUCGCAAGACCUUGCGCUGAUUGAGCGGCCGAUAUCGGAUUAACUAGUUGGUGGGGUAAAGGCCUACCAAGGCGACGAUCUGUAGCGGGUCUGAGAGGAUGAUCCGCCACACUGGAACUGAGACACGGACCAGACUCCUACGGGAGGCAGCAGUGGGGAAUUUUGGACAAUGGGGGCAACCCUGCUCCAGCCAUGCCGCGUGAGUGAAGAAGGCCUUCGGGUUGUAAAGCUCUUUCGGCCGGGAAGAAAUCGCAUGGGCUAAUACCCUGUGUGGAUGACGGUACCGGAAUAAGAAGCACCGGCUAACUACGUGCCAGCCGCCGCAGUAAAAC
rnacentral:rRNA from 1 species